AGCAGCCGCGGUAAUUCCAGCUCCAAUAGCGUAUAUUAAAGUUGUUGCAGUUAAAAAGCUCGUAGUUGAAUUUCGGGAUUAGUACGUUGGUCGUGCCUUCGGUACGUACUGGUGUUACUGAUUCCUACCUUCUGACGAACCAUCAUGUCAUUUAUUUGGUGUGGCGGGGAAUCAGGACUGUUACUUUGAAAAAUUAGAGUGUUUAAAGCAGGCUCGCGCUUGAAUACAUUAGCAUGGAAUAAUGAAAUAGGACGUUGAUCCUAUUUUGUUGGUUUCUAGGAUUGACGUAAUGAUUAAUAGGGAUAGUUGGGGGCAUUAGUAUUCAAUUGUCAGAGGUGAAAUUCUUGGAUUUAUUGAAGACUAACUACUGCGAAAGCAUUUGCCAAGGAUGUUUUCAUUAAUCAAGAACGAAAGUUAGGGGAUCGAAGACGAUCAGAUACCGUCGUAGUCUUAACCAUAAACUAUG
rnacentral:rRNA from 1 species